rnacentral:lncRNA from 1 species
CCCGACUCACUCAGCCUCCUGCCUGGAGCUGCCGUGGCCCUGGGACAGGAGAGCACUGGUGGAUGGUGGGAUGGGGAUGGUUUUCUGAGGUAUGCGGGGACCCACUGCCAGCUGCCUGACCCCCACGGCCACGAGGACCCUCCUUCCCAGCACAGCACCCAAAGACAAACAUGGUGCAUGGGCCAAGAGCUGAAAGAGGGCGCAGAUAGGGCAGGAGAGACCACGCACACCACCUGCAAGAGAGGGAAAAUAACAGGAAAAUUCUCUAAUUAACGUGAUUACUUUUUUCCUGCUCCUCUUAGCUAUUUAACAGCAGGCAAACCGGACUCCCCCAAGGUUGCUCCAUCCUAUGAAAACCUAAAACUGACGGCCCGGAGGGAGCAGCUCUGCCUCCUGCACAAGCACCUCUCCCUGCACCAGCUGGGGCUGGCGACCAGCUGUGCCUCGGCCGAGCGGGACGGCGGCAGCUUCUCCAGCCACUUGCUCAGGGCCAAGGACACCGACGGCAGGACACGGCCCCGCGAGGGCUGGGAAGAUCGUGCAGCCUUGCUGAAGCUCCCCGCCGCCAUGGUCUACAUGAGGGAUCAGCACCUGGAGGAGAAGCUGCAGCUCCUCAAGCAGCGGGAGCGGCUGCAGCAUUUCCUCCUGCAGCGGUGCCAGCCGGGCCAGCGGGCAGACGGAGACCCAAAACCCGUGCCCAAGGAGCGGCCGCUCUCCCCGUGGCCGAGCAUCACGCCAGGAUGCAAGGAGGAACGGUCCUUCCUGGAGGAUGCCGCGGAUGGGAAGGAGGAGAAGCAGCUCUGGCUGAGCCAGGACAUCUCUGAGCUGCGAGAAAAGGUGAAGGCGGCAAGGGACGAUGGUGCAGACACGCCGCUGGAUCUCUCAGACUCCGGCCGUGGCAGGGAAACGGGCUGGCAGAGCCGCCGGCAGCUGGGGGGGGGCAGUAGCCCUGGGCUGAGCCCCGGGGAGAGCCCCGCUUUGCCGGUCACCCACAGGAGACACGGGGCAGAGCAGGACGGUUUGUGCUUCCACUACCGCUGGCCCAAUGCCACCCGGGCACUGCCUGGUGCUGCCGAGGAGGAAGAGGAGGAGGAGGAGGAGGAGGAUGCAGCUGUGCUCGCUCUCCCACGGGCACAUCUGACAAACAAGUCCACGCCGAGCGACCCAGAGGCCCUUCCAGAGACGGGGGUGAGAGUGGCUGCCAGUGCACAGAAGGGAGAAGCAGGUAAAAAGCCCCAGGCAAAGGUGACAUUUGAGAAGGCAAGAGCAAAAGGUGCAUUUUAGUGAAGGUGUCUCACAGCCGGGAGCUCUCUGUGCCGGGCUCUGCAGGCACCUGCAGCCCCCACCGAUAACCAGCAUGGGUCACCCUUCCUGGGACCCAGGCUCCCAGCUCUUUUGGG